rnacentral:rRNA from 1 species
AGAUUAAGUUAUUAAGGGCGCACGGUGGAUGCCUUGGCACUAGAAGCCGAUGAAGGACGUUACUAACGACGAUAUGCUUUGGGGAGCUGUAAGUAAGCUUUGAUCCAGAGAUUUCCGAAUGGGGAAACCCAGCAUGAGUUAUGUCAUGUUAUCGAUAUGUGAAUACAUAGCAUAUCAGAAGGCACACCCGGAGAACUGAAACAUCUUAGUACCCGGAGGAAGAGAAAGAAAAUUCGAUUCCCUUAGUAGCGGCGAGCGAAACGGGAAGAGCCCAAACCAACAAGCUUGCUUGUUGGGGUUGUAGGACACUCUAUACGGAGUUACAAAGGACGACAUUAGACGAAUCAUCUGGAAAGAUGAAUCAAAGAAGGUAAUAAUCCUGUAGUCGAAAAUGUUGUCUCUCUUGAGUGGAUCCUGAGUACGACGGAGCACGUGAAAUUCCGUCGGAAUCUGGGAGGACCAUCUCCUAAGGCUAAAUACUCUCUAGUGACCGAUAGUGAACCAGUACCGUGAGGGAAAGGUGAAAAGCACCCCGGAAGGGGAGUGAAAUAGAACCUGAAACCGUGUGCUUACAAGUAGUCAGAGCCCGUUAAUGGGUGAUGGCGUGCCUUUUGUAGAAUGAACCGGCGAGUUACGAUUUGAUGCAAGGUUAAGCAGUAAAUGUGGAGCCGUAGCGAAAGCGAGUCUGAAUAGGGCGUUUAGUAUUUGGUCGUAGACCCGAAACCAGGUGAUCUACCCUUGGUCAGGUUGAAGUUCAGGUAACACUGAAUGGAGGACCGAACCGACUUACGUUGAAAAGUGAGCGGAUGAACUGAGGGUAGCGGAGAAAUUCCAAUCGAACCUGGAGAUAGCUGGUUCUCUCCGAAAUAGCUUUAGGGCUAGCCUCAAGUGAUGAUUAUUGGAGGUAGAGCACUGUUUGGACGAGGGGCCCCUCUCGGGUUACCGAAUUCAGACAAACUCCGAAUGCCAAUUAAUUUAACUUGGGAGUCAGAACAUGGGUGAUAAGGUCCGUGUUCGAAAGGGAAACAGCCCAGACCACCAGCUAAGGUCCCAAAAUAUAUGUUAAGUGGAAAAGGAUGUGGCGUUGCCCAGACAACUAGGAUGUUGGCUUAGAAGCAGCCAUCAUUUAAAGAGUGCGUAAUAGCUCACUAGUCGAGUGACACUGCGCCGAAAAUGUACCGGGGCUAAACAUAUUACCGAAGCUGUGGAUUGUCCUUUGGACAAUGGUAGGAGAGCGUUCUAAGGGCGUUGAAGCAUGAUCGUAAGGACAACAUGUGGAGCGCUUAGAAGUGAGAAUGCCGGUGUGAGUAGCGAAAGACGGGUGAGAAUCCCGUCCACCGAUUGACUAAGGUUUCCAGAGGAAGGCUCGUCCGCUCUGGGUUAGUCGGGUCCUAAGCUGAGGCCGACAGGCGUAGGCGAUGGAUAACAGGUUGAUAUUCCUGUACCACCUAUAAUCGUUUUAAUCGAUGGGGGGGACGCAGUAGGAUAGGCGAAGCGUGCGAUUGGAUUGCACGUCUAAGCAGUAAGGCUGAGUAUUAGGCAAAUCCGGUACUCGUUAAGGCUGAGCUGUGAUGGGGAGAAGACAUUGUGUCUUCGAGUCGUUGAUUUCACACUGCCGAGAAAAGCCUCUAGAUAGAAAAUAGGUGCCCGUACCGCAAACCGACACAGGUAGUCAAGAUGAGAAUUCUAAGGUGAGCGAGCGAACUCUCGUUAAGGAACUCGGCAAAAUGACCCCGUAACUUCGGGAGAAGGGGUGCUCUUUAGGGUUAACGCCCAGAAGAGCCGCAGUGAAUAGGCCCAAGCGACUGUUUAUCAAAAACACAGGUCUCUGCUAAACCGUAAGGUGAUGUAUAGGGGCUGACGCCUGCCCGGUGCUGGAAGGUUAAGAGGAGUGGUUAGCUUCUGCGAAGCUACGAAUCGAAGCCCCAGUAAACGGCGGCCGUAACUAUAACGGUCCUAAGGUAGCGAAAUUCCUUGUCGGGUAAGUUCCGACCCGCACGAAAGGCGUAACGAUUUGGGCACUGUCUCAACGAGAGACUCGGUGAAAUCAUAGUACCUGUGAAGAUGCAGGUUACCCGCGACAGGACGGAAAGACCCCGUGGAGCUUUACUGUAGCCUGAUAUUGAAAUUCGGCACAGCUUGUACAGGAUAGGUAGGAGCCUUUGAAACGUGAGCGCUAGCUUACGUGGAGGCGCUGGUGGGAUACUACCCUAGCUGUGUUGGCUUUCUAACCCGCACCACUUAUCGUGGUGGGAGACAGUGUCAGGCGGGCAGUUUGACUGGGGCGGUCGCCUCCUAAAAGGUAACGGAGGCGCUCAAAGGUUCCCUCAGAAUGGUUGGAAAUCAUUCAUAGAGUGUAAAGGCAUAAGGGAGCUUGACUGCGAGACCUACAAGUCGAGCAGGGUCGAAAGACGGACUUAGUGAUCCGGUGGUUCCGCAUGGAAGGGCCAUCGCUCAACGGAUAAAAGCUACCCCGGGGAUAACAGGCUUAUCUCCCCCAAGAGUUCACAUCGACGGGGAGGUUUGGCACCUCGAUGUCGGCUCAUCGCAUCCUGGGGCUGUAGUCGGUCCCAAGGGUUGGGCUGUUCGCCCAUUAAAGCGGUACGCGAGCUGGGUUCAGAACGUCGUGAGACAGUUCGGUCCCUAUCCGUCGUGGGCGUAGGAAAUUUGAGAGGAGCUGUCCUUAGUACGAGAGGACCGGGAUGGACAUACCUCUGGUGUACCAGUUGUCGUGCCAACGGCAUAGCUGGGUAGCUAUGUGUGGACGGGAUAAGUGCUGAAAGCAUCUAAGCAUGAAGCCCCCC